CAGAGCUGGCAGAGCUCCGCAUGGGUGGCACUUUGGAGAGUCGGCUUCGAGAGGAAAGCGGAAAACGGAGAGAAGGGAUGAAAAACAAGAAAGAAAGCAUAAAAUAAGAUCAAGUCUUCAUGUUUGUCGGAGCGGUCGGGAUGUAGAGGCUAAUUAAGAGAUGGAUAACAAAGAUUAGAAAGAGUGAGUGAAAGAAAGACGCCAUCGCAAAUGGAUUCAGGAUGGAUUAGAAGAAAGCAAUUCAUGCAGGUUUGGAGUGACAUGAGGUUUCCUUGUCACCUGUGUCCAUAGAAAAGGAUUACGGAUGAAACAGAACAGGAAUGGAGGGAGUGUGAAAGAGAAGAGAGAAUGGACGGGCCGGCAAAAAAGUCAUGUCCCAGCAACCAACCCGCCUCAGGCAUUACUCAUUAGCCUAGCAAAAAGCUAAAUCCGCAAACAGUGAUGACCUGAGGGGGGGAUCAAACCAGAGAGCAGAUUCACCACAUUUAUGAAAUUUUACCAUGAUCUUCUACUAAAUUCAAGCUGAGAGCCUCAAGUUAGCCAUGAAUAAUGACAACCUUGAGCUGUCCUGAGUUUAAAAUGAGUCAGCAUGA